rnacentral:rRNA from 1 species
GUGGGGAAUCUUCCGCAAUGGACGAAAGUCUGACGGAGCAACGCCGCGUGAGUGAUGAAGGUCUUCGGAUUGUAAAGCUCUGUUAAUCGGGACGAAAGAGCCUAGUGUGAAUAAUGCUAGGAAGUGACGGUACCGGAAUAGAAAGCCACGGCUAACUACGUGCCAGCAGCCGCGGUAAUACGUAGGUGGCAAGCGUUGUCCGGAAUUAUUGGGCGUAAAGCGCGCGCAGGCGGAUCUGCCAGUCUGUCUUAAAAGUUCGGGGCUUAACCCCGUGAUGGGAUGGAAACUACAGAUCUAGAGUAUCGGAGAGGAAAGUGGAAUUCCUAGUGUAGCGGUGAAAUGCGUAGAUAUUAGGAAGAACACCAGUGGCGAAGGCGACUUUCUGGACGAAAACUGACGCUGAGGCGCGAAAGCCAGGGGAGCGAACGGGAUUAGAAACCGUGUAGUCC